CCCAGAGCUUAACUCUGGAACUGGCAUUAAAACUUUUCAGCUAGAGUAUGUUAGAGGAAAGCAGAAUUUCUAGUGUAGAGGUGAAAUUCGUAGAUAUUAGAAAGAAUACCAAUUGCGAAGGCAGCUUUCUGGAUCAUUACUGACACUGAGGAACGAAAGCAUGGGUAGCGAAGAGGAUUAGAUACCCUCGUAGUCCAUGCCGUAAACGAUGUGUGUUAGACGUUGGAAAUUUAUUUUCAGUGUCGCAGCGAAAGCGAUAAACACACCGCCUGGGGAGUACGACCGCAAGGUUAAAACUCAAAUGAAUUGACGGGGACCCGCACAAGUAGUGGAGCAUGUGGUUUAAUUCGAAGAUACGCGCAGAACCUUACCAACACUUGACAUGUUCGUCGCGACUCUAAGAGAUUAGAGUUUUCGGUUCGGCCGGACGAAACACAGGUGCUGCAUGGCUGUCGUCAGCUCGUGUCGUGAGAUGUUGGGUUAAGUCCCGCAACGAGCGCAACCCUCACUUUUAGUUGCCAUCAUUAAGUUGGGCACUCUGAAAGAACUGCCAGUGAUAAGCUGGAGGAAGGUGGGGAUGACGUCAAGUCCUCAUGGCCCUUACGUGUUGGGCUACACACGUGCUACAAUGGCAUCUACAACAGGAAGCAAGACUGCGAGGUCAAGCAAAUCCCUAAAAGAUACCUCAGUUCGGAUUGCACUCUGCAACUCGAGUGCAUGAAGCUGGAAUUACUAGUAAUCGUGGAUCAGCGUGCCACGGUGAAUGCGUUCCCGGGUCUUGUACACACCGCCCGUCACACCAUGGGAGUUGGUUCUACCUUAAGGCAAGGUUUCAAACCCUUGACCACGGUAUAGUCAGCGACUGGGGUGAAGUCGUAACAAGGUAACCG
rnacentral:rRNA from 1 species